UAGUCCACGCCCUAAACGAUGCUUACUCGAUGUAUGUAUUUAUAUGUGCAUCCAAGGGAAACCGUUAAGUAAGCCACCUGGGGAGUACGUUCGCAAGAAUGAAACUCAAAGGAAUUGACGGGGGUCCGCACAAGCGGAGGAGCAUGUGGUUUAAUUCGAUGAUACGCGAGGAACCUUACCUGGGCUCGAAUGCAAUCGCCGAUACCUGAAAGGGUAUUUUCUUUCGAGACGAGAAGCAAGGUGCUGCAUGGUUGUCGUCAGCUCGUGCCGUGAGGUGUUGGGUUAAGUCCCGCAACGAGCGCAACCCCUAUUUUUAGUUGCCAGCAUGUAAUGAUGGGGACUCUAGAAAAACUGCCUAUGCAAGUAGGAGGAAGGUGGGGAUGACGUCAAAUCAUCAUGGCCUUUAUGCCCAGGGCUACACACGUGCUACAAUGGUAGAGACAAAGGGUCGCAACACAGCGAUGUGAAGCCAAUCUCAAAAACUCUAAUCUCAGUUCGGAUUG
rnacentral:rRNA from 1 species